rnacentral:tRNA from 1 species
GGAGAGGUGCCCGAGUGGCCAAAGGGGACGGGCUGUAAACCCGUUGUCUCACGACUUCGAAGGUUCGACUCCUUCCCUCUCCA